GAUGAACGCUGGCGGCGUGCCUAAUACAUGCAAGUAGAACGCUGAAGGAAGGAGCUUGCUCUUUCCGGAUGAGUUGCGAACGGGUGAGUAACGCGUAGGUAACCUGCCUGGUAGCGGGGGAUAACUAUUGGAAACGAUAGCUAAUACCGCAUAACAGUAGAUGUUGCAUGAUAUCUACUUAAAAGGUGCAAUUGCACCACUACCAGAUGGACCUGCGUUGUAUUAGCUAGUUGGUGAGGUAACGGCUCACCAAGGCGACGAUACAUAGCCGACCUGAGAGGGUGAUCGGCCACACUGGGACUGAGACACGGCCCAGACUCCUACGGGAGGCAGCAGUAGGGAAUCUUCGGCAAUGGACGGAAGUCUGACCGAGCAACGCCGCGUGAGUGAAGAAGGUUUUCGGAUCGUAAAGCUCUGUUGUAAGAGAAGAACAAGUGUGAGAGUGGAAAGUUCACACUGUGACGGUAGCUGACCAGAAAGGUACGGCUAACUACGUG
rnacentral:rRNA from 1 species